UGCUCUCUGCUCUGCCCGUUGUACCUGUAGCGCCCGGGCGGAAUACUUGUUGAAACGGGGAUCGUUCCCUGCCGUGGUGUGCUGCCCUCCGUAUGUGGGAUUUGCCUGAAGCGGCAUACUGAGACCCAUCUGUGAAGGAACUCGCCAGAGGACCUUUUAAGGUCAACGUCAGAGCGGAGAGACG
rfam:Geobacter lovleyi SZ, complete genome.